rnacentral:rRNA from 1 species
GCUUAGAAGCAGCCAUCAUUUAAAGAAAGCGUAAUAGCUCACUGGUCGAGUCGGCCUGCGCGGAAGAUGUAACGGGGCUAAACCAUGCACCGAAGCUGCGGCAGCGACACUAUGUGUUGUUGGGUAGGGGAGCGUUCUGUAAGCCUGCGAAGGUGACCUGUGAGGGUUGCUGGAGGUAUCAGAAGUGCGAAUGCUGACAUAAGUAACGAUAAAGCGGGUGAAAAGCCCGCUCGCCGGAAGACCAAGGGUUCCUGUCCAACGUUAAUCGGGGCAGGGUGAGUCGACCCCUAAGGCGAGGCCGAAAGGCGUAGUCGAUGGGAAACAGGUUAAUAUUCCUGUACUUGGUGUUACUGCGAAGGGGGGACGGAGAAGGCUAUGUUAGCCGGGCGACGGUUGUCCCGGUUUAAGCAUGUAGGCUGGUUAUCCAGGCAAAUCCGGAUAAUCAAGGCUGAGGUGUGAUGACGAGGCACUACGGUGCUGAAGUAACAAAUGCCCUGCUUCCAGGAAAAGCCUCUAAGCAUCAGGUAACAUCAAAUCGUACCCCAAACCGACACAGGUGGUCAGGUAGAGAAUACCAAGGCGCUUGAGAGAACUCGGGUGAAGGAACUAGGCAAAAUGGUGCCGUAACUUCGGGAGAAGGCACGCUGGUGUGUAGGUGAAG